rnacentral:lncRNA from 1 species
GAAAAAACAAUUAAUUAAGCAAGGGUGGUGGCAGUCAUAAAGUAGAUAAUUUCUAAGGUUCCUUUCAGCUUUACCAUUUAGAUCUCCAUGACAUACCCUGUCAAGAACUGCAGAUUAGUGCUUUGCUCUUCUCAACCUAAGAGUUCAUUCUCUGAUAGUUGAUGUCCUUGUUAGAGACUGUUAGUGUGGCCCACAGCACAGUAAGUCAGAAGUAAGUCUUGGUAAAACAAAUCCCCCCUUCCAUAUGUUGGGAGAGGCAAGUAGGUGCUGCCCACUGGCUUAAUCUACAAUGGCUCCCAGAAAUUGGACUCUAGUGGUCAGUAGGUCUACUUAGUUCAGAUAACUAUCUAUAACCAGCAGUACUUGGUGGAGUUCUAGGACUUGGGAACUUAGGAAAACUAUCUAUAACCAGCAGUACUUGGUGGAGUUCUAGGACUUGGGAACUUAGGAAGGCUUCAAGAGCAUUUGGUGAAUAGUAAAUUCUGCUGCUGAGUGAUUAUCUUCAGCCGCCUCUAUUACUGUGUCUCACUUCUCACUCUCAUAGUCAAACUUCUUGAAAUUGUUCGCACUUAACUGUUUCCACUUGCUCAUCUCCAACUCUCUCCUUGCCCACUGACAUUUGAAUUCUGGCUCCUUCAUUCCCCUUUAAAGCCCCUGUCAAAAUCAUGAGGGAGCUCCUAGUUACAGGAGUAACCAUGUCCUAAUCAAAUGGACAUUCUAGGUCUUCUCUGAUUAUUUUUCUCUUAAAAGUAUCUCUUUGGCAUUACCCACCUCUGAGUUUUCUUCUGUAUUCCUAGUCGUGGUUUCUCAAUUUCCUUUGAAUCAUUCUCUUCCUAUGAGUAUCCCUUAAAUGUUGGCCCUUGGAGUUCUGUCCUUGGCCUUUAACUAUUCCCAUGCUGUAUGGCAUCCCUGGACUGUAUCAUCCAUUAUUGGGACUUUAAGUACUGCCUUGGUUAUGGAUGACUUCCAAAUCUCAUCUCUCUCUCCUGAGCUCCAGAUUCCCGUUUCCAAUUUCCCACCAGAUACCCCACAGCAGGUAUGUUCCUAACAAGUGAGCAGCCAGGGCAAGAGUAUUCACACUCCUCUCAAACAGCCACUUUUUGGGCUGCUCCUUGGGCUUAGGGGUAUUGCACAAUGGUAGUGAGGUCCACCAUCAGGAUGACCUAUACAAGAGGUGUAUCUUUGGGCCUGAAGUGGACUCAGGCCAUUUGGGAGGGGAUUUGGGAAUCCCAGAAAUAUGAAAUAUAGCAGGUCUGAAAGUGGGGGCGUGAGCUCUGGGUAGUCACGUCCCUUUAGUCACAAAGAAAGGCUUUCUUUAGAGUUCCAGGGAGGGGCACUUGGGUGGCUCAGUGGUUGAAUGUCUGCCUUGGGCUCAGGUGGUGAUCCCGGGGUGCUGGGAUCGAGUCCCUCAUCAGGCUCCCCAUGGGGAGCCUGCUUCUCCCCCUGCCUAUGUGUCUUUCUCUGUGUCUUACAUGAAUAAAUAAAAUCUUAAAAAAAUAAAAUAGUUCCAGGGUGAGGGCCAUCUAAAGCCUGAGGUCUAGGGCAAGGCCCCCAAUUUCCCAAGUGUAAGGAAUUUAACUGCUCCCACACUACCUUAAACUCAUUCACAGAUCUGAAUUUAUCAUCUACCUUUUCCCUCUCUUCUUUUACUGUCUAUACAACCUCUUCAUCCUUUUCUAUUCCACAUCUAAGCAAACAGCACUGCCAAUCUUUUGCUUUAGUCACGAAUCUGGCAGUUGAUUUAUCUCCUAAACAUCUUUAGGAUUUGUCUGUCCUCACUUCAUCAGCCCCACUUGCUAGUGCCUUAUUAUGGCUUCUCAUCAUUUGUCAUCUGGGCUCACUUCCACCAGUUUUCUUUCAAGUCCAUUUCGGAGGAGUAAACCUUGUCAAUUUCCGCGUAAUUUAGGUUUAGGGUGGUAGUGGGAGGGUGGAGGAGGGAAUGGUGGUGCUAGAAGGCUCUUUUAUCUAAUGCUAAGCAAGGCUUAAGUGACUCCAGAAGUAUAAUCUUCUAGCCACCAGCAUCAGGACCCCCUGAGGAGCUUGUUAAAAUGCAGACUCCCAGAUGCUACCCCAGACUUAACUGAAUUAGACUCUUUGUGAGACCUAGAAUGUGUAUCUUUUUUUUCUCUUUAGAAUGUGUAUCUUCAACAACCUUUGCUGGAUGCCACUGGAUUGUGGUUUCUGAAAGAACUUAAUGAAAGCAACUUUUCUGUGCUCAUGUCAGGAAGAGAAACAAUACUCUUCUCAGAGAGAAUCUUUGUGGCUCUCCAGAUAACCAGCACUAGAGAAAGAAGAAUGAAUACAUAGUUUAGAGAAAACAAUGUUACCCUUUAGAAUUCUGAAUGUCUCUGCCACACCAGUUAGGCCAAAUGAGCAACUCAGUAACGCUUAAAAACAUUAAAAAAAAAUGGGGCGACUGAUCCCUCCAUGAAGCCAAAGUUCAAUACAAGAACAAUACACUGUAUUUGCUAAGCAAAACAAUUCAAUAGUGGAAUUAGGGCAGUUGAUCUCUUUUUCAAAGUUUAAUGGCUGACCAAGUGGGGCUUCUGAUCUUACUAAAAGUCUUCCAGUUUGAACUCUGGGCAAAGUCUGUUGAGGUGGUCUUAGGGACAGUUCUUUCAUUCAACAGACACACAUUUUAGCAUCUACUCUUGGCAGGCACUGUGCAAGAUGGUGGGAUUACGGUUAGGUAUAACCUUCAGUUGACUUCUGGGCUACAGCAGUGCUUGCGGUGGAGAAGACAGAUGUGGGUGUGUCCAGAUUGGGUGGAGGCUGGUGGCAUCAGAGGUAAAAGAAUUCACCUGAGGCAGAACAAAGGUGAUAGAAGUUUAUUGAAUUUCCAGUUAGCUGGUCAGGAAAGCAAAGGAGAGACUGUCAGGAGGCAGUGUUGGGCUGUAGUUUAGGAGGUGGUGAGGAGGGAUGGGAACAUGGAAUUUUCGUGUUUGGGUACCUGUGCCCGGUUGCAGGUAGCCCAUUCCUCAGCUUAGGUCUAUGGCUAUUUUCAGGUGGGUCGCCUAAUGAGUCUGUUUGCAUUCAGUCCCCUGGUCACUGUGGGCACCUCUGCCCGACUCAGGUUUCCAAGUGCUUAUUAUGCCUGUUGCCUAAAAGUGGCCUCUACAACUAAUUCUCCUGUGAAUCUUAAAAAAAAAAAAAAGUUAUUUGGCCUGGAGUAUAGAAUCCUAACCAAAAAAAAAAAAAAAAAAAAAAAAAAAAAA